rnacentral:rRNA from 1 species
GAAUUCUGGACAAUGGGCGAAAGCCUGAUCCAGCAAUGCCGCGUUCAGGAUGAAGUCCUUCGGGUUGUACACUGCUUUUGUACGGAACGAAAAGCUUCGGGUUAAUACCAUGGAGUCAUGACGGCACCGUAACAAUAAGCAUCGGCUAACUACGUGCCAGCAGCCGCGGUAAUACUGAGGGUGGAAGCGUUAAUCGGUAUUACUGGGCGUAAAACGUGCGCAGGCGGUUUUGUAAGACAGAGGUGAAAUCCCCGGGCUCAACCUGGGAACUGCCUUUGUGACUGCAAGGCUAGAGUACGGCAGAGGGGGGUGGAAUUCCGCGUGUAGCAGUGAAAUGCGUAGAUAUGCGGAGGAACACCGAUGGCGAAGGCAACCCCCUGGGCCUGUACUGACGCUCAUGCACGAAAGCGUGGGGAGCAAACA